CGGCGGUAAAGAAUCGGGGGCUGGAAGAAGGAAAGAACGCCGAGUGUGAAUGCUACAGAGGUGUUCAAGAACCAGGCUUGGAAGCCUGGCGGGCUCAGGUACCAGAAGCCCCCAGGAGGCUGCCGGCCAGGCAAAGAUGCUCUGCUAUACUAAAUACGUUCCAGGGGCCAUGCAGACUUGGACAAUAAAAAUAACGGACUGAAGAUCGGAAGUACUUGCCGCCAUGCUCACCCUUCGUGACGAAUUUAUUGAGCGCCCGCCCGCAGGCCAGGGCCGUGAGAAGCAGAGAAGGAAAACACCAACUCCUUGCCCUAUAGGACUUAAUAGCUAACUCAUAUAAUAAUUACUGUUUACUAGACACUGUUGUCGCUCAGCUGUCAAACAACACUACCAAAUCGGUGCU
rnacentral:lncRNA from 1 species